CUUCAGGCAAACAGCUAUCUAGUGAAUUGCUAAAAGAAAAAAAACCAACAAAAACCCCUUGAUCUUCAGGAUGCAGAAAGAAGGAGCUUUCUGAACUUGGAGAAGGUUGGUAAACAGGAGGUUGACAGCCAAAUGUUGGUGCCCCCCCCACAUCGAGGGAAUGGGGACUGUGUUGCAUGGAUGCGUUCCAGUUGGAGGAGAGCUUUGCUCUGUGGAGAUGCUCUUGGGUCAGGUGAAGACAGCAGGAUUCUUGCAAACCAGAUGGACACUUUUCUUUGUGUACCAGAGAGACAAGAAAUCACACCAUUUAAAAGAAAGAGGCAGCAAGGAUUCUCCCUCUUGCAACAACUCUUCAGCCACAGGAGUUUCUGUAAGUGCUGUUUCACUUCUCCCCUUAGCUUCCGAGCACUGUCCUACAGUUCAGACUGUCACUAUCA
rnacentral:lncRNA from 1 species